UACAGAGGUCUCAAGCGUUGUUCGGAUUCAUUGGGCGUAAAGGGUGCGUAGGUGGCGUCGUAAGUCAGGUGUGAAAUCUCGGGGCUCAACCCCGAAACUGCACUUGAUACUGCGAUGCUCGAGUACUGGAGAGGAGAUUGGAAUUUACGGUGUAGCAGUGAAAUGCGUAGAUAUCGUAAGGAAGACGAGUGGCGAAGGCGAAUCUCUGGACAGUUACUGACACUGAGGCACGAAGGCCAGGGGAGCAAACGGG
rnacentral:rRNA from 1 species